AACCGGAGGAGGAGGGGA
rnacentral:snRNA from 1 species